UCGCGCACCGCUUAGCGAACGUAAAACUCCAAUACGACGUGGUUCAUGCCGUUCCGCUCCUCGGUCACAACAGUGCGCACAGGGUAUGGAAUAAACGAUGGUAUGCAAAUGUCAUAGCUAGAGAGAAGAAGACGUCAUGUACGUUCCCGCAACCUCGGCAAAAUAGGGUCACCUGUUACAAUUGCUAUAAAGUAUGGUCUAUGCCGCCAACUGGAUCGACGUACUGGGUCAGAAGACGACGACGCAACGCGCUACUUCUAUUGUUCAAUUCAAAACCAAGAGGCAAGUUACGAAAGACGUCAUGUGAGCCGAAAAGGUGGCAUCACGCGUACAGAAGCGAAACCCAUAUAAAGGUGACAUUGGCAGUUUCUUUUUAUUUAUUUUUUUGCCCACUGUCCUCCUUUGUCUGCUAGAUGAGAUUUUUUUUCUUAUUCGCUUCUUUUGCUUAGUGCUCGUUUGGCGUCACUGAAUCCAACCACUACAAGUAUCCAACCACUACAAG